rnacentral:tRNA from 1 species
GCCCGGGUGGUGGAAUUGGUAGACACAAGGGACUUAAAAUCCCUCGGGGGUAACUCCGUGCCGGUUCGAGUCCGGCCCCGGGCACCA